rnacentral:rRNA from 1 species
GUAAAGAGCUCGUAGGUGGUUUGUCGCGUUGUUCGUGAAAUCUCACGGCUUAACUGUGAGCGUGCGGGCGAUACGGGCAGACUAGAGUACUGCAGGGGAGACUGGAAUUCCUGGUGUAGCGGUGGAAUGCGCAGAUAUCAGGAGGAACACCGGUGGCGAAGGCGGGUCUCUGGGCAGUAACUGACGCUGAGGAGCGAAAGCGUGGGGAGCGAACAGGAUUAGAUACCCUGGUAGUCCACGCCGUAAACGGUGGGUACUAGGUGAGGGUUUCCUUCCUUGGGAUCCGUGCCGUAGCUAACGCAUUAAGUACCCCGCCUGGGGAGUACGGCCGCAAGGCUAAAAGUCAAAGGAAUUGACGGGGGCCCGCACAAGCGGCGGAGCAUGUGGAUUAAUUCGAUGCAACGCGAAGAACCUUACCUGGGUUUGACAUGCACAGGACGCGUCUAGAGAUAGGCGUUCCCUUGUGGCCUGUGUGCAGGUGGUGCAUGGCUGUCGUCAGCUCGUGUCGUGAGAUGUUGGGUUAAGUCCCGCAACGAGCGCAACCCUUGUCUCAUGUUGCCAGCGGGUAAUGCCGGGGACUCGUGAGAGACUGCCGGGGUCAACUCGGAGGAAGGUGGGGAUGACGUCAAGUCAUCAUGCCCCUUAUGUCCAGGGCUUCACACAUGCUACAAUGGCCGGUACAAAGGGCUGCGAUGCCGUAAGGUUAAGCGAAUCCUUUUAAAGCCGGUCUCAGUUCGGAUUGGGGUCUGCAACUCGACCCCAUGAAGUCGGAGUCGCUAGUAAUCGCAGAUCAGCAACGCUGCG